rnacentral:lncRNA from 1 species
UUGUUAAUAAAGGGGUUAUUGCCAACAACCCAGGAAGUUGUUAAAGAAUCACAUAAAAGGCAGUUUUAUCUGUUUUUCAUUAUUUCUCUUUUUUACUUUUUUAGUAGACAGGAUUUGGAUAGGUAGAUGAAGAAUGGGACAGCAUGUGGGGGAACAUGCAAAGAAGAUAAGGAAUGGGGAGUCGGAGUACAUCAGUCUACCCAGAGUCGAGGGUUUACUUAGCGGGGAGUGGUACUAUUUCUCCUGAGGAAACACCCAGAAAGGUCAAAAACAGAUUUCUGUCCCCAGUCCUCCCACACCUGUAUGCAUGUACACACACACAAACACCUACACCAAUAAUCUUCCCACAGUCAAUACCUCCUCCUUCCAAAUGUAAAUACCUCCAGGAGGUUUACACAUACUGCUCAUUUAUAAAGUGGUUACAUCUAAUGUGUGUUCUUUUAUUAGUAAACUAGGUUUCCUCCCUUCUUCCCCUUACAUCACAUACUUUUAAAACCAAGAAUAAGGCUGGGAUAGGAAAGCUUAGAUGAGAAGGAAAUUGCAGUUGCAAGUGACAGGCAGAGGAAGUAAGUAAGGAGGAAGACCCUGGUGUGAGGAACAAGGAUACAGGAGGUCAGAGAUGUGUGGUCCAGAUUUCCCUGAACUUCAGUCCAGAAGGAAAAGAGCUAGAAGACCCAGAGAAGUUUCAUGAAGAGAUGGAGACCUCCUAAAGCAGAAGAAACAAUUGCCUGGCUUUUCAGGGAACAAACCAAGAAGACAUAAAGACUCACCUGGGAAAUAUGACGUCCACAAAGAUGCUCUCUUGGAAGUGACAUAAAUGUGAUAGUGUGCUGUUAUUGGGCAAACAGACUGACCAAUUAGCACUUGCACUCCUUCCCUGGCUCUCAAGUGUAUCAGAGAAAUCAAGAAACUCCUCUUGAUUUUGUCCUCUGCUGGGCCCAGAGUAGGGUCAGAAGAGAUAGUUAUUCAGAGGACUGGAAGUCUUGCCACAGGACAGCCAUAGUUAAUGAGGAUACCUAUAUCCUGUAUCUCCUACAUACAUCCAAGAGACAUAGGACUCUAGGACUUAUCCAAGAUGUGGACUACACAGAUGACAUGGCAGAGAUUCAAGGGACUUGUAAUGUCAGCAAGAGCCAAGGUAAGGCCACAUCAGCCAAUGAAGACCACUGGGUCCUGAUCCAGCUGAGAGAAUAGGUCACAAAUUCACCGGCUACAUAUUUUUUCAGCAGACGACAACAGGAUGUUUAGCAUCCACCCCAAUGCCUGAGUGGACAGUGCGAGAAAUAUAGAGAGUAGGGAUACCUUGUUUGCUUUAACUAGUCCUGUAGCCAACUAUAAUUGAUGUUAUGUGAGAAAAGACCUACUCUUGCUGAUCGAGGGAAUUCACAUAUGUUAGUGUGAUCUGUGUGAGAGUGUGUCAGUAUAGACUUUCAGAUGUCUGACUUUCUGACAAAUAAAUGGAUCGCCUAAAAAGAAACUUGCUCCUAGUUCCCAAGUCAGAGAUUCUCAGUUAAUGACACAUGUGAGGUUCAGAGACACCCCUAACCGCUGGUCUAUUACCAAACAAAGACAGAAUCCACUCAAGAGGCUAUGUAUCCAGACCCAAUUAGGGUCUGUUAAGUUCACUGUAGUGCCACAUUUUGUUAUGUCAGUCACUUAAUAGUCUGACCCAGCGUUUUGCCCAACUUGCCCCAACUAGCCCUGGGAACUUGUAUCACCUUUUCAAAGAUAGCAAGAUAUUGCAUAAAUAAAAAAGUAUUUAAGGAAAGGAAGCAUGAACUGAGAGUGCUAUAGGUAAAUUAAAGAUCAAGGCCAUCAUUUCUGUAGGCUAGAAAAAAAUCAUAGUGUUGGCAAGUCUAUUCUCCUCGCCUUCAAGUAGGACCCAGAUCAUUAUCCUCCCAUCAAACAAAAGCCAAAGCAAACAAACAAACAAAAACAUUCUUUUAAGCAACAGCCCCCAAAAUGCAAAUUUUACCAAAGAUUUAAUACAUAAUAUUCAGAAGUUAAUAUUAUAUACCACACAUCAAAAAAGCAUAAUGGAAAUCCCCACUAAACAUUUCUAUUUUCCUAUCAAUCCCUUGUCAGAUGCCAAGUUCAGGUGUUUUCC